GAUGAACGCUGGCGGCGUGCCUAAUACAUGCAAGUCGAGCGAACGGACGAGAAGCUCGCUUCUCUGCUGUUAGCGGCGGACGGGUGAGUAACACGUGGAUAACCUACCUAUAAGACUGGGAUAACUUCGGGAAAACGGAGCUAAUAACGGAUAAUAUUUUGAACCGCAUGGUUCAAAAGUGCUAGACGGUCUUGCUGUCUCUUAUAGAUGGAUCCGCGCUGCAUUAGCUAGUUGGUAAGGUAACGGCUUACCAAGGCAACGAUGCAUAGCCGACCUGAGAGGAUGAUCAGCCACACUGGAACUGAGACACGGUCCAGACUCCUACGGGAGGCAGCAGUAGGGAAUCUUCGACAAUGGGCGAAAGCCUGACGGAGCAACGCCGCGUGAGUGAUGAAGGUCUUCGGGUCGUAAAGCCCUGUUAUUAGGAAAGAACAUAUGUAGAAGUAACUGUGCACAUCUUGACGGUACCUAAACAGAAAGCCACGGCUAACUACGUG
rnacentral:rRNA from 1 species